CUAGUCCAGGCUAUUCUAGAACUCAAUCUCUGUAAACCAGGCUGGCCUCAAGCUCGCAGAAAUCUACCUUCCUCUGUCUUUUGGGUACUGGGUU